rnacentral:rRNA from 1 species
AGAGUUUGAUCCUGGCUCAGGAUGAACGCUAGCGACAGGCCUAACACAUGCAAGUCGAGGGGCAGCACAUGAUGCAGCAAUGCGGAUGGUGGCGACCGGCGCACGGGUGAGUAACACGUAUGCAACCUGCCUUCAACCGGAGGAUAACCCGUUGAAAGACGGACUAAUACUCCAUAACACAGGGGUCCCGCAUGGGGAUAUUUGUUAAAGAUUAAUCGGUUGAAGAUGGGCAUGCGUUCCAUUAGCUUGUUGGUGAGGUAACGGCUCACCAAGGCAACGAUGGAUAGGGGAACUGAGAGGUUGAUCCCCCACACUGGAACUGAGACACGGUCCAGACUCCUACGGGAGGCAGCAGUGAGGAAUAUUGGUCAAUGGACGAGAGUCUGAACCAGCCAAGUCGCGUGAAGGAAGACGGCCCUACGGGUUGUAAACUUCUUUUGUAAGGGAAUAAAUAGUCUUACGUGCUAAGACGUUGCAGGUACCUUACGAAUAAGGAUCGGCUAACUCCGUGCCAGCAGCCGCGGUAAUACGGAGGAUCCGAGCGUUAUCCGGAUUUAUUGGGUUUAAAGGGUGCGCAGGCGGGAUGUUAAGUCGGCGGUGAAAUUUUGCAGCUCAACUGUAAAAGUGCCUUCGAUACUGGCCUCCUUGAGUGUGGAUGAAGUAGGCGGAAUUUGUGGUGUAGCGGUGAAAUGCUUAGAUAUCACGAGGAACUCCGAUUGCGCAGGCAGCUUACUAAACCACUACUGACGCUCAUGCACGAAGGCGUGGGGAUCAAACAGGAUUAGAUACCCCGGUAGU